rnacentral:lncRNA from 1 species
GCUUUAGCAUGUUUUUCAGCAUCAUCACAGUUUCACAGAUCCGUGUUCAGUUUUUAAAGGUGUUUAUCUGCACUAAUGAUGGACCGCUGAACCCGAACCUGCGGCAGGCUGUUCGUGUCUGAAUGUCUUCGUAUUUCAAAUGGCACUACUGUCAGUUUAGAGAAACGUCCCGAUCCCAUCCCCGGUGUGAUCUUCUCAAGGGGUCUGAUCUCCACACACAGCAGGUAAGAAGCAGGACCAGAAGAGCAGGUGAGUCCUAGCCCUCGGGUGACCGAACGUUACCUGCCGAAGCUCCGUUUGACUGCCCCGGCUCUACCGUACCAGAAACACCCUUCCUUGACCAAAUACACACUUUCUCUCUAAAACAAACUAAAACAAACACACCCAUGGCAGCAUUUGCUGACGCACACGUGUACGCAUUAACAGCCUCCCUGCUGGUCUUCAAACGCUGUCAGUUUCCACAUUCAACCUUCAGGUCUCUUCAGUUUACCACACUUCUCUCCAUUUAUACCAUGGGACAUUCCAGUGACAGAUUCACAUUAAGAACUGAAAGUUUUAGACCCCACUCCAUUCAUGGGACUCGAACCAACAGCCUAGGCUUGGUAACCACAAUUCACCCAUAUAUUUUACAUUUUUUUUGUUUCGCUCGCACAGGGUUGAGCUACUUAAUGUACAGUUGUCACUUUUACUGUUUCAAUUCAGAAUAAGUACCUUGCUCAAGGGUACUGUUACUGGAAGUGGGAUUUGAAUCUGGGGCCUUCGAGUGGAAGGCAGCAGAUCCGACCACUAUGUCACCUGCUUCCCACGCUACAGAAACGUACUCACGGUCACUCGAAUCCGGCCUCCUCUUCGGAACCAGGCAAUAUCUGACCCAGCCCCCCUCGGAGACAUACCUUUUGACUUGGGGACACACCUGCACCCGGCGCUCGGGGUUCUCAUCCUGCCUCUGCAUUGCGCCGGCAUCCUGUAGGAUCUCAGCCCAGAGUGUGAGCGAGCGGCAACGCUGGAGGGACACGUCCAGCAUCGAUCUGGGACCCGCGUGCGCCACUUCACGCUGUCCGGCCACGGGAGGAGGGAGGAUUUUGGCAGGGCGUGUUGAACCUGUGCUUACUCCAGCAAGAAAGCCUGACAGGGGUCAUCAAUAUGCAGGCGGAACACCUCGAUCGAAGGUGCCACCGGGGAGCACGGACCGCUUGAAUCUGCUCUGGACUCAUCUGCACGGGAAAGGAAACGUGAUUGAACCAGGACUGGGCCUCAACCUCACAGCAUUAGAGGGCUGCAGGUAG